GACGAACGCUGGCGGCGUGCUUAACACAUGCAAGUCGAACGGAAAGGCCCUGCUUUUGUGGGGUGCUCGAGUGGCGAACGGGUGAGUAACACGUGAGUAACCUGCCCUUGACUUUGGGAUAACUUCAGGAAACUGGGGCUAAUACCGGAUAGGAGCUCCUGCUGCAUGGUGGGGGUUGGAAAGUUUCGGCGGUUGGGGAUGGACUCGCGGCUUAUCAGCUUGUUGGUGGGGUAGUGGCUUACCAAGGCUUUGACGGGUAGCCGGCCUGAGAGGGUGACCGGCCACAUUGGGACUGAGAUACGGCCCAGACUGCUACGGGAGGCAGCAGUGGGGAAUAUUGCACAAUGGGCGGAAGCCUGAUGCAGCAACGCCGCGUGCGGGAUGACGGCCUUCGGGUUGUAAACCGCUUUCGCCUGUGACGAAGCGUGAGUGACGGUAAUGGGUAAAGAAACACCGGCUAACUACGUG
rnacentral:rRNA from 1 species